rnacentral:lncRNA from 10 species
AACUGUGCCUCACGUUCCUUCCAACGGCGCCUUCCAUCCCAGCUGGGCGGGGCUUCGCCGUGUUACCUUCUCAACAUGGCGAGCUUGCUGGACGUCACGUCGCCUUCGCCUUUUCCGCUGCGGACUCUGCUCACCGACCUCCUCAGUAGAGCCGGCCCUGCUCACUACCGCGCCCACGUGUCCUGUUGUGCUUCAUUCCCACAGGCCGCAUAAGCAAUUCUACAUCUGGACUUUAUCCUACAAAUGUUCCUGCGUGUGUAUGAAAGAGGGAAAGAUUGAAAACAACCCAAGUGUCCGUCCACGGGGACUCUGGUUAAAUGAAGUGUGGAAUCCCUGCAGUGAACACCAGCCUUCCAUAAUGGACAGAGGCAGCCCUUCUCUACGCAUCAGAAAUAACCCAAGAUAGAGGAAGCUCUCUCGGUACCCAUCAGAAAUAUCCCCAGACAGAGAGAGCCCUCUGCGUGUCAAUCAGAAGUGUGCCCAGACAGAACUUUUCAUCUUUCAUCGAACAAAUCUAUUUAUGGUGGCUUCUUUUACCAGUUCUUCUGCCUGAUCCCCACUGCCACUACUUGGUUAUUUUCUGCUAUAUCUGCCUAUAUAGUAAUCUUCAGAAAUAUUGCCUUAUGGUAAUUCUUGGACUCCAUAGAAGCGUGAUCAAAAACAAAGAGACUGAAUGCUCAAACAAACUACAACGAUCAUAGAACGGGAGUUUUGGACAUAACAACUUGUGACAGUUUGUUUUCUUCUAGCAUUUUCUUACAAACACCAAGCCCCUUCAGCGUGUUACUGUGGAGGAAGCAUGCUGGCACAGUGAACUCAACACCCUCUCCCAGCAAAUCCUGGGUCCUUCAGGGACUCCAAUGGCCCCUGGGAACCCAUUCACACUGCUUGAGUUUUCUCCAGAAUCCAGUCCACGUACUCGACCACGUUGGUGUAAACACCUGGCCGCUCCCUUUGAGCACAGCCUUCGCCCCAGCUCGUGAUGCCUACCAGAUGCCAGACCUCAUUGUGUUUGCAGGACAGAGGGCCUCCCGAAUCUCCCUAGAACGAGGGGAGACAAGAAAAGGUUCAGCACGAUAUCGCACAUGUGCCAGGAUGAGAGGGCGAGAGAGAGACAAGCCUCACCCUCACCGCUAACUCCUCAUCCAACUCACUUUGAUCCUGCACAAGUUGCUUAAUUGUUCUAACCUUCAAUCCUUCAUCCCUAAAUUAUCUUUAAUAAAUUAUCUUUAGAC